UACGGGGGGGGCAAGCGUUGUUCGGAAUUACUGGGCGGAAAGGGCGCGUAGGCGGCCUGCUAAGUCGGAUGUGAAAUCCCUCGGCUCAACCGAGGAACUGCAUCCGAUACUGGCGGGCUUGAAUCCGGGAGAGGGAUGUGGAAUUCCAGGUGUAGCGGUGAAAUGCGUAGAUAUCCGGAGGAACACCAGUGGCGAAAGCGGCCACCUGGACUGCACCUGACGCUGACACGCGAAAGCUAGGGGAGCGAACGGG
rnacentral:rRNA from 1 species